UGGGGCUCAACCCCCCAAAUUGCUUUCAAAACUGCCCAGCCCCGAGUAGUGCAGAGGUAGGGGGAAUUCCCCGGUGUAGCGGUGGAAGGGGUAGAUAUCGGAGGGAACACCCAGUGGCGAAGGCGGCCUACUGGGCACCAACCGACGCUGAGGCUCGAAAGUGUGGGUAGCAAACAGGAUUAGAUACCCCGGUAGUCCACACCGUAAACGAUGAUUACUAGGUGUUGGGGGAUUGACCCCCUCAGUGCCGCAGUUAACACAAUAAGUAAUCCACCUGGGGAGUACGACCGCAAGGUUGAAACUCAAAGGAAUUGACGGGGGCCCGCACAAGCAGUGGAGUAUGUGGUUUAAUUCGACGCAACGCGAAGAACCUUACCAGGUCUUGACAUCCGAUGACCUUCUGAGAGAUCAGGAUUUCCUUCGGGACAUCGAGACAGGUGGUGCAUGGUUGUCGUCAGCUCGUGUCGUGAGAUGUUGGGUUAAGUCCCAUAACGAGCGCAACCCUCAUCAUUAGUUACUAACAGGUUAAGCUGAGGACUCUAGUGAGACUGCCAUCGUAAGAUGCGAGGAAGGUGGGGAUGACGUCAAAUCAUCAUGCCCCUUAUGAGCUGGGCUACACACGUGCUACAAUGGACGGUACAACGAGUUGCGACCCCGCAAGGGUGAGCGAAUCUUAAUAAGCCGUUCUCAGUUCGGAUUGUUCUCUGCAACUCGAGAGCAUGAAGCCGGAAUCGCUAGUAAUCGCGGAUCAGAAUGCCGCGGUGAAUACGUUCCCGGGUCUUGUACACACCGCCCGUCA
rnacentral:rRNA from 1 species